GGGAGUGCAGCAAAGCUGCAAGAUUAAUAACUGCUCUGAUUCAUGAUCAAUGAAUACACACAUGGGAAAUGAAUCUUUGUACAUAAUCUGCAAUGGAGAGGGUGAGGAUGCUUACGAAAUAGAAAAUAAAAGGAUCAAAAUUUAGUUGCUCUAGUUUUCAAUUACUCCAGUUUAUCAAUUGCUGUUUACAGUGUGAACCAAUUUCUUAUUUCAGGAUGAUGCAUGUAUUUAACUAAAGAGAAAAGCAUGGAAGGGAACUUUUCCAGGACAAAUGAAGAUGAAGAUGUUGCCUGGCUGGUAUGGAAUCCCUGUAAACUAUUAAAGCUUCCUGUGCCACAUCUACCCAAGCACCCCCCCUUCCCUUAUCUGUGACUUGUGGGAGUCCUUGCAGCUGAUGGAAACAAAGGGUGACCUUAUGCCCUUGCAGAGGUGGCACUCAGCUGGUUCAGACCAGUUCGCCUGAACUGGUAGUGGUGACUGUGAGUGGGCCCGGGCCUGCUCCCACCCACCUGCCCAGAUGUAAAGACGUCCUAUUUAACCAUGUUUUCAAGGCCGGGCACACGUGCCGAAGGCACGCACGUGAGCAAAGAAUAUAAUUUUUUAUUGGCCAAGUAUGACUGGACACACAAGGAAUUUGUCUUGUUGCAUAUGCUCUCACUGUACAUAAAAGAAAAUAUACCUUCAUCAACGUACAACACUUACAACACUUAAUGAUAGUCAUAGGGUAUAAAUUUAACACUUAAUGAUACAACUCUUAACACUUAACAAAGCACAUGCACGGAAGGCACGCACACAUGCGAAGAGAGCGUGCGCCUGCGGGGCGAACCAGUAGUAAGAAUAUGUGAAACACACUGCUGUGCCCUUGCCUCAUUUUCAUCCUCUUGUUCUUCUCUGCUGAACAAGGUUGGAAGGAAAAGUGCAGGCACAUUUGAAUAUACCUGUAGGAGAAAGUUGUUUGUGUAAUAGAAAAUACUUGGCAUAAGCACAUGAGGGAUUAAUUUCUGAAAGUUUCUUUCUCAGGCAAUUACAUUAGUAGUUAUUAAUUUAAUUAUCAUUUUGUCCAGGUGGUGUCCCUUAGUGGAUGUGUCUUCAAUGCUCAAAUACACACGUCUAUUGUGAAUGGAGACAUCUUCAAAACAAAUUUUAAACUAGUGAGAAGAUAGAAAAGCUGCACAGUGUAUACUAAUUGUUUGUUUGCUUGAAUGAAUGAUCAAUUUCCGACUUCCUUUUAAAAAGACCAUUUAAAUUCCAGGUCAUCUUCCUUUUUGGAUUAAUAACGUCUUUCCAUAGCACAUUUUUUUUUUUAUAUGUGCACAACUAAUUCUUACAAAAUCCAAAUACAAGAAGCCACUUUUUCUGGCAUAAUAUAAGUAGGGAUAACAAAAAAAAAGGCAGGACACUAUUUCUGCCCUUGUAAGCUACUGGAAUAAAAGAACUUUUCUUUUCCCUCAAAAGUGAAUAGAACGCAGAGAUAGGAUGAUGAGUUCCAUGAAGCCAAAAUGUUUUUCUAUCCUGAUUUCUUAAAAUGCAGUAAGAGAGGCAGAGGAUAAGUAACCUAUUCAAGAAAUUAUCUGUAAAAAUUUGUACUUGAAUUCAUUACCCACCCUUACAACUCCCCAAUCAAUUUUUCUUCAAAACUACAUUCCAAAAUAUUGACCUUCCCCUUCCAUUCGUGUUUCCUUUUUCAUUUUACUUUGUUUUCCUGUGAGGUAAUUCAAAUAUUUUCUUUCACUUUCAAAGGAAGCAUGGGCAUCUGCGAGGGAGUGGGGAAGUAGUGUUACAAUUGUCAUUUUCCAAAUGGUGUAAAUUUCAUAAUUCAAGAGUCAUACAGUAGAAGUCUCCUGCUAUUAAACCAGGGCCCAGAUUAACCUUGUUGCACAUUGUACUAAGCCAUAAUUUAUGACUUGUUUGAUUUUGGGCUCAGCACAUUAUUUGAAUCCAACCAUUCUAGGUUUUAAGAUAUGCUGUGGGGCAUUAUUGGAUGUAAAUGUAGGCUCCUUGAAUAUACCAUGACUACUGAUGAUUACAUGGACACUCGUGAAUUUUUUUUGAGCAAUAAUAUGAAAAUGGGUUGCUACUGGUUUCUUCCAGAAUGUUUUCCCUGUUUUUCAUUCUAAUCUAAAGCCCUGGGUUUCCUGGUAAUUUCCCAUCCAAGUGCUAACCUUAGUUGUGGUGGGAUGUUUUUGUUUAUGUUUUAAUCAGCCAAGAUCAACUAGAUGUUGUUACCUGAACUGGCCAGAUAAACUAAGCUGUUCCAAAUGGCCUUUAUAAAUACACACCUCCAUCUUUAUGGCCUGUUGCACAUCUUACACUCCUCAGGAAUGCUAAGAGGAGAAAUAACUAUUAUGUAUUUUGUUUUUAGUAUUGUCCUCUGAGAAUAUAAUUUUCACUCCGGGGGAGGGGGGGAACAAUCUGAGUCCCAGAGUUUGAAACAAAAUGAACAUUUAUUGUGGGAGAAGAACAUCACAAAGUUGGAAUCAAAUUCAAAACACACAUUCCCUAUCUAGUUAAUAUAUGUAUAAUAUUAUCCCCAGCUCCCAGGGUGAAUGCUCAGAGCUAAUUUAGAGCUACUGGCACCAAAUAAGGCACCAUGAAAUUUAAAACC